AGUAGCAAUACUGUGGGUGGCGAGUGGCGGACGGGUGAGGAAUACAUCGGAAUCUGCCCAGUCGUGGGGGAUAACAUAGGGAAACUUAUGCUAAUACCGCAUACGACCUACGGGUGAAAGCGGGGGAUCGCAAGACCUCGCGCGAUUGGAUGAGCCGAUGUCCGAUUAGCUAGUUGGCGGGGUAAUGGCCCACCAAGGCGACGAUCGGUAGCUGGUCUGAGAGGAUGAUCAGCCACACUGGAACUGAGACACGGUCCAGACUCCUACGGGAGGCAGCAGUGGGGAAUAUUGGACAAUGGGCGCAAGCCGGAUCCAGCCAUGCCGCGUGGGUGAAGAAGGCCUUCGGGUUGUAAAGCCCUUUUGUCCGGAAAGAAAAGCACUGGAUUAAUACUUCGGUGUUCUGACGGUACCGGAAGAAUAAGCACCGGCUAACUUCGUGCCAGCAGCCGCGGUAAUACGAAGGGUGCAAGCGUUACUCGGAAUUACUGGGCGUAAAGCGUGCGUAGGUGGUUCGUUAAGUCUGAUGUGAAAGCCCUGGGCUCAACCUGGGAAUUGCAUUGGAUACUGGCGGGCUAGAGUGCGGUAGAGGAUGGCGGAAUUCCCGGUGUAGCAGUGAAAUGCGUAGAGAUCGGGAGGAACAUCUGUGGCGAAGGCGGCCAUCUGGACCAGCACUGACACUGAGGCACGAAAGCGUGGGGAGCAAACAGGAUUAGAUACCCUGGUAGUCCACGCCCUAAACGAUGCGAACUGGAUGUUGGGUGCAACUAGGCACUCAGUAUCGAAGCUAACGCGUUAAGUUCGCCGCCUGGGGAGUACGGUCGCAAGACUGAAACUC
rnacentral:rRNA from 1 species